AUCCUCGCGGUUUGCAGUGGUCUGGUAGUACGAGGCUCGGCAGUCAAUGGACAUCUUGCAACCGCGAUUUUGAUAUAAACGAAGUGCUGUCUUUUUGCGCAUCUUUCGAGCAGUAACCUGCGCCGUUUAUUGAAAGGGGGCCUCAGCUUUUGUCGUCUGCUGAACGUGGUUUUCUCGACACAAAUCAACUUCAAUUAAUUAGACGACAGGGGAGAAGUCUAACAGAAGGCCUAUCAGACAGGUGCCAACUGGUUCUUCUAAAGGCAGGAAAAUCUUAGAGACUUGGCCAAAGUCAGGGUUUCUGUUUUCUCUUCUAACUGCUGUAUCCAUGUUUGUGCAUCAAUUGCUGUGUCAAUCGUCAACCACAGAUGAACUUCAAAUGCAAUAGGUGGAGCACCAAGGAAACCUUCACUUUCAAUCCUUUCAAAUUUAUCAAUCUUGUAGGUGUACUUUUGUGGCAGCUUUGAUCUCAUCUGGUACUUGAAAUUGUCGCUGACACUUUGGUUGUGGGUUGUCCUUCUUUUCUUCACAAGUGGUGGUAUACAGUCAUCGGCAGCUACUUGUUCUUUCUUCUGAUAGUCUGUCACAUUGGCAGCUACUUGUUCUUUGUCCUGAGAGUUUGUCACAUCGAUGGCUACUUGUUCUUUGUCCUGAGAGUCUGUCACAUCGAUGGCUACUUGUUCUUUGUCCUGAGAGUCUGUCACAUCAAUGGCUGCCUGUUCUUUGUCCUGAGAGUCUGUCACGAUGACAUUUUCUGUUGUUUCAGUAGAUUUCUGUUUAGAGACAGUAGCUUCUUUUGACAGAGUUUUCAUUCUGAAAAUUUAAUUUCAGCUGCAGACAAAAACAACAGUUUGAGCCACUGGCACGUUUGUAUGCAUGUAUGGUAUAUGCAUGUAUGUUGAAAGACCUAAUGAAAUGGUCUUUUUCUGUCCACAUAUUUGAAGUUUGUUAAGAAGGAUGACU